rnacentral:misc_RNA from 1 species
GAUAAUUAUCUACUAAUACAUACAAGGGAUAAUAAAUAUACAAGAGAUAAACUUCACGAGAUAAAACUCUAUCAAUAGAUAAACUCUAUCAAGAUAUAAAACUCUAUCAAUGGAUAAACUCUAUUAUUUACAUGUAAACAAACUUGCAAGAAAACUAAAAACAGCUUUCCUUCCACCCACCAUACUCUUCUUCUUCACGGUUGCCAUUUUCCACCUUGAGGGUGAAAGUGACUCCAACUUGAAUCUCUCCAUUGUAACAUUGAUCAGAUUGAACAAUGCUAUACUUUUGAGGAUGAAGUUCAGCAGUUCCAUUCUCCACUCCUAAUUCCAACAAAUCCUUCACAUAUAUCGUAGCAUGGCCAAGCAAAUCAUCAGCAGAGAAGGUGUCCUUGUCCAUGAUUUUCCAUGAUUUUUAAAAUGAGCUUGUACUCUUCACCUUGCCCUGGAUAUUCCACCUUGAAAGCGAGUUUCUCAUUCCACACUGGAUUCCCACCUUGACCUCUGGCGACACUGCUCUCGCGCUCUUGGCUUUUGUACUUCACGAUAACAUAUGGAUCAAUCUUACCUAAGAAAUCAGUGCCUCUGAGGCCUUUUGCAUUCACCAGCUGCACUUCCAAUAGCCCAGUAGCCAUCUCCGGUUCUUG